rnacentral:rRNA from 1 species
UACGAAGGGGACUAGCGUUGUUCGGAUUUACUGGGCGUAAAGCGCGCGUAGGCGGAUCACUUAGUCAGGGGUGAAAUCCCGAGGCUUAACCUCGGAACUGCCUUUGAUACUGGUGAUCUGGAGAUCGGGAGAGGUUGGUGGAAUUCCGAGUGUAGAGGUGAAAUUCGUAGAUAUUCGGAGGAACACCAGAAGCGAAGGCGGCCAACUGGCCCGAUACUGACGCUGAGGCGCGAAAGCGUGGGGAGCAAACAGG